rnacentral:rRNA from 1 species
UACGGGCCGGACAAACGUUAUUCGGAAUCACUGGGCUUAAAGAGUGCGUAGGCGGCCAUGCAAGUUGGGUGUGAAAUCCCUCGGCUCAACCGAGGAAUAGCGCCCAAAACUGUAUGGCUCGAGGAAGACAGGGGUGAGCGGAACUGAUGGUGGAGCGGUGAAAUGCGUUGAUAUCAUCAGGAACACCGGUGGCGAAGGCGGCUCACUGGGUCUUUUCUGACGCUGAGGUACGAAAGCUAGGGUAGCGAACGGG